AAUUCUCAAACAAGAUAGAUUUGUUUCUAUCUCUGUUUGGAUCUGGACUUUGCUGUGUCAAUGCGGCUGGUCUUAAAUGUAUUAGCUGGUCCUAACGAGGGUUUGGUUCUUACUCAGCAUGAUAAUUAUCUGAUGUUGAGGACAGUCUCAGGACUGGCCAGGCCUCUCCUUGGAUUGCUUCUAAUCGUCUUUGGACAAUUAUUCAAU
rnacentral:misc_RNA from 1 species